AACGUAGGACGCGAACGUUAUCCGGAAUUACUGGGCGUAAAGGGCGCGCAGGCGGUUCGGUAAGUUAGGCAUGAAAGCUCCCUGGCUAAACCGGGAGAGGAUGUCUGAUACUGUCGGACUAGAGUAAGGUAGAGGGGUGUAGAAUUCCGCGUGUAGUGGUGAAAUGCGUAGAUAUGCGGAGGAAUACCAGUGGCGAAGGC
rnacentral:rRNA from 1 species